rnacentral:rRNA from 1 species
AAAGCGUGCGCAGGCGGUUAUAUAAGACAGAUGUGAAAUCCCCGGGCUCAACCUGGGAACUGCAUUUGUGACUGUAUAGCUAGAGUACGGUAGAGGGGGAUGGAAUUCCGCGUGUAGCAGUGAAAUGCGUAGAUAUGCGGAGGAACACCGAUGGCGAAGGCAAUCCCCUGGACCUGUACUGACGCUCAUGCACGAAAGCGUGGGGAGCAAACAGGAUUAGAUACCCUAGU